CAUGUGGUUUAAUUCGAAGCUACGCGAAGAACCUUACCAGGUCUUGACAUCUUGCGCCAACCCUAGAGAUAGGGCGUUUCCUUCGGGAACGCAAUGACAGGUGGUGCAUGGUCGUCGUCAGCUCGUGUCGUGAGAUGUUGGGUUAAGUCCCGCAACGAGCGCAACCCUUGUUACUAGUUGCCAGCAUUAAGUUGGGCACUCUAGUGAGACUGCCGGUGACAAACCGGAGGAAGGUGGGGACGACGUCAGAUCAUCAUGCCCCUUAUGACCUGGGCUACACACGUGCUACAAUGGACGGUACAACGAGUCGCGAACUCGCGAGGGCAAGCAAAUCUCUUAAAACCGUUCUCAGUUCGGACUGCAGGCUGCAACUCGCCUGCACGAAGUCGGAAUCGCUAGUAAUCGCGGAUCAGCAUGCCGCGGUGAAUACGUUCCCGGGCCUUGU
rnacentral:rRNA from 2 species